CUCUCUCUCUCUCUCUCUCUCUCUCGAUCUCUCUCGACGAUCCAGUCCACUGUUGCGCUCGUUGUCGCCAAAUGGAUGAGAACAAUCAGCGGAUUGAUGCACAAGAUGCAUAACCGGUUUCUUUUUCUUCGUGCCGAGAGGCCUUCAAGAUGUUCCAUUGCUUUCAAUACCAAAAGGUGCUAAGGAAUGCUGAGCCAGACUUCAAGAUGUUCCAUUGAUUGUUAUAAGGCUCUACCAGAAGCAUUCUCAUGGACAGCACCAACCGAAUGAAGAAAGAGUAUCAUCUCUUCCCAUAUGUGCAAAUGGCGUUAAGAUGAGCAUUGACUCAAGUGCAUCACUCUCUGUUUCUGACACUAAUCCUGGCUUGCAAUACAUGGCAAAGAGGAAUGCACACUGGAAUCUGCAACAAAACAAGGACCUUUCUGCAUCUCUCUCAUGCGUUCCAAGAUAUUCAUACAAAUGGUUAAUAUGUGCUGGGGAUAUCCAGAGAGCCACACAGAACUUUACAACAGUUUUAGGACAACAAUCUUUUGGGCCAUUAUAUCAAGCUACAAUUCCAACAGGUGAAUUGGUAGCUGUUAAGGCGCUUGCAGGUAAUUCAAUCCAAGGAAAAAAGAGUUACCAACAGAGGUAUACUGCUCAGUUUUUGGACUGAAAUUGCAUGAAUGAGUUUGCUAACAUAAACUGAAAAUGUCUUCUAUUAUGGUUUAAGUUUGUUUUAGUGAGAUAAAAUUACUACUGGCAUCAAUCUGAAUUAAUACAUGAGUGAAAGCCACGAAAUCAGGCAGAAAGCUAUUUUGGAACAAUUAGACAGCUAGAUAAUCAUGUUAACCUAACCAUUUGAUUGUGUCAGAACAUAAAUAAAUCAAGUAAAUCUGGGCACACUCUCUCUCCUAUGUCUCAUGUAGGCAACCCAGUUGAUUAGACUCACACACACAUAUCCUCAAUCAAGAUCAUAAAAGGAAAAUAAAUAAACUAAUAAAUAAGAAUAUCAUCUUAGAGAAGUAAAGUAAGAUAGGGAUAGGACAACUAGGCCAUACUCUUCAAAACACAUAAUUUCAUUUAUGCAAGUUAUGAUUGUAUAUAGACUCAUAAGAUGUUCAUGUAGGAAGAUUUUUCAAUUAGACUAACACUCAUCUUCCUAAAAUUUUAUCUGAAGAGAUGAUAGUAAAUGUCAUAUGUCACCAAAAAUUCUAUCCAAAAGAAAUGUGUGGAAUGUUCAAACAUGACCCUAAUAGCUUAAACUCUUCCAAAUUUAUCUGUGUCCAUGAUAGGGGACUCAAACUAAAGAUUUUAAUUAAAAAAAAAGUGUAAAUAUGACCUAAAAUAGGAAUUAACAAUAUGGACAAAAAAAAAAUCCAAAAAGGUAAGAAAAUUAAAAGAAAACCCAAGCUAGACUCACAGAAGUCUUAAGUCAACCUAAAUAUGCCCAAACUAGACUAACCUAAGACUAGAUGUCUCAUGAUCAAUAAGAAGAAGCAUUAUGCGUGUAUAAAAACAACGAAUCAUGUCUCAUGAUGUACUUACUAUGUUGGGUGUGGUU